rnacentral:misc_RNA from 1 species
UGCUUCAGGCAGCGACGGCGCCCCUCUCCCGUGAGUCAUUAGUGUCGGCUCGAGUGCCGCACGGCCUCGGCCGAGACCCGGUUGGUUUCUUGUGCUGUGUACUCACGGAAGGGCAUCCUUCUCUAGUCCCAACUGUCCCUGUGUUCGUCAGUUGCUCCCCCUUUAGGGCAGGGCACGCGACGGAAUUUGUAGCCCAGUCCGUUACCCGCGUCGCCUCCAGCUGUAGCGGUGAAUGGGCACCGCCCGAGCUCUCAGAUGCGGAAAGCACCGGGGGGCGCCGACGACACGCGCCCGAGCAACGCACUCAAACCCCGACCCAACAGACGACCGUCGCUCCCGUCGCGGCCCGGCUGUGCGGGAAGGAUGUCAUCGAGGAAUGCUACUUGGUUGAUCCUGCCAGU